UACGUAGGGGGCAAGCGUUGUCCGGAAUCAUUGGGCGUAGAGCGCGUGUAGGCGGCCCGGUAAGUCCGCUGUGAAAGUCGGGGGGCUCAACCCUCGAAUGCCGGUGGAUACUGUCGGGCUAGAGUGCGGAAGAGGCGAGUGGAAUUCCUGGUGUAGCGGUGAAAAUGCGCAGAUAUCAGGAGGAACACCAAUUGCGAAGGCAGCUCGCUGGGACGUGACUGACGCUGAGACGCGAAAGCGUGGGGAGCAAACAGG
rnacentral:rRNA from 1 species